AUACGUAGGGGGCGAGCGUUGUCCGGAAUGAUUGGGCGUAAAGGGCGCGUAGGCGGCCUGUUAAGUCUGGAGUGAAAGUCCUGUUUUCAAGAUGGGAAUUGCUUUGGAUACUGAUGGGCUUGAGUGCAGGAGAGGUUAUCGGAAUUCCCGGUGUAGCGGUGAAAUGCGUAGAGAUCGGGAGGAACACCAGUGGCGAAGGCGGGUAACUGGACUGCAACUGACGCUGAGGCGCGAAAGUGUGGGGAGCAAACAGGAUUAGAUACCCUGGUAGUCCACACUGUAAACGAUGAAUGCUAGGUGUAAGAGGUAUCGACCCCUUUUGUGCCGGAGUCAACACAAUAAGCAUUCCGCCUGGGGAGCACGGCCGCAAGGUUGAAACUCAAAUGAAUUGGCGGGG
rnacentral:rRNA from 1 species